rnacentral:rRNA from 1 species
AACGAACGCUGGCGGCGUGGAUAAGACAUGCAAGUCGAGCGCUUAUAUGGUUGCAGCAAUGUGGUCAUAUGGGAGCGGCGCAAGGGUGCGUAACACGUGGGUAAUCUGCCUUGAAGCUGGGGACAACUCCGGGAAACCGGAGCUAAUACCGAAUGUGGUUUUGGGGAGGCAUCUCUCUGGAACUGAAGUUGGGGACCGCAAGGCCUGACGCUUCAAGAUGAGCCCGCGGCCUAUCAGCUAGUUGGUAAGGUAACGGCUUACCAAGGCUAAGACGGGUAGCUGGUCUGAGAGGACGACCAGCCACACUGGAACUGAGACACGGUCCAGACACCUACGGGUGGUAGCAGUCGAGAAUUUUUCACAAUGGGCGCAAGCCUGAUGGAGCGACGCCGCGUGGGGGAUGAAGGGCUUCGGCCUGUAAACCCCUGUCAGCUGCGAACAAACCUUGCCUGUGAAUAGCGGGCGAGCUGAUGGUAGCGGCAGAGGAAGGGACGGCUAAC